UACGUAGGGUGCGAGCGUUAAUCGGAAUUACUGGGCGUAAAGCGUGCGCAGGCGGUUUUGUAAGCCAGAUGUGAAAUCCCCGGGCUUAACCUGGGAAUGGCAUUUGGGACUGCAAGGCUUGAGUGCGGCAGAGGAGACUGGAAUUCCCGGUGUAGCAGUGAAAUGCGUAGAUAUCGGGAGGAAUACCGAUGGCGAAGGCGGGUCUCUGGGCCGUAACUGACGCUGAGGAGCGAAAGCGUGGGGAGCGAACAGG
rnacentral:rRNA from 1 species